CGAGGGGCGAGGCCGAGCGCGGGCUGGGGCGCGGGCGGCACGGGGACCCAGACGCCGAGCGAAUCUCCCAAUCAGCCGAACCGACCGCUCGGGACGCUCCUGGAUUCCGUUUGCGUGUUCGAGAAAAGGAAAGUUGCCUCCGUUUGACAAAGACUAAGUACAACUCUGUUGGCAAGAGAUAUUUGGAAAUGUAGUUUUCAGGCAUCCAGGCCUUACAGUUCAACAGAGAAGAAAGGAGGGUGAAAUGUGGCUGAGUAUGUACAGUACCCAAAACCACACAGUAAAUAAAAAAUCUGGUCCAGUGGCUGUCACUGUUACCAUCUUCUCUGAGCCUGAAAUCAAAUGUCAGUAUCUACCAAAGGAGGAGAAGAAUGUAAAAACUGGGAGUUUCCCUGGAGCUGGAAAUUAAGGAUGUGUAUUCCUGCCUUUUGCAUUCGUUAGUUGUACAGCCUCUGUGCCGUAUACAGAAUGGUGAGAAGAUUCACCUGCGAUACCUGAAUGUCAGAGGCGUUUCUUUCCACGGUCCGAAUGUUUGAACAUGUUAUUUUGUAUCACCUUUUGGUCAAUGAUAUUUGAAGAAGAUUCAUUGUUUGGCUUAUCUUUGUUUGCUGAGAUUUGUCACAAUU
rnacentral:lncRNA from 1 species